CCUACGGGAGGCUGCAGUAGGGAAUCUCCCACAAUGGACGAAAGUCUGAUGGAGCAACGCCGCGUGUGUGAUGAAGGGUUUCGGCUCGUAAAACACUGUUGUAAGAGAAGAAUGACAUUGAGAGUAACUGUUCAGUGUGUGACGGUAUCUUACCAGAAAGGAACGGCUAAAUACGUGCCAGCAGCCGCGGUAAUAAGUAUGUUCCAAGCGCUAUCCGGAGUUAUUUGGCGUAAAGCGAGCGCAGACGGUUGUAUGAGUGCUGAGGGAAAGGGCACUGGUUUACUGUGGGAGUGCUUUGGAAACUGGAUAACUUGAGUGCAGUAGAGGAGAGUGGAACUCCAUGUGUAGCGGUGAAAUGCGUAGAUAUAUGGAGGAACACCAGUGGCGAAAGCGGCUCUCUGGACUGUAACUGACGUUGAGGCUCGAAAGCGUGGGGAGCAAACAGGAUUAGAUACCCCUGUAGUC
rnacentral:rRNA from 1 species